AGUGAGCUUUUGUGUAUGGUAAAACUGUUUCUCAAAAUUUUCUCAUAUUUUUUUAGUCUUUUUGAGUAAUGGGAACAUAAUAACAUAGCAGAGAUAUUCUCAAUGGCAUCGCUAUGUAUGAACUCAUUGGUACCACUUUCAUCAUCUUCUCACUCUCGCAACCUCACUACUCAUACCUCUCUUUCUGCUUCUUCUUUGAUUCUUGAUAACAACAACAAUAAUAGCCUUAGAACAACAAGUACCUUGAAACCUAUUGUUGUUGUUGGUGACCCUCCUACUUUUGUUUCUGCUCCUGGUCGCACAAUUCUCGCUGUUGGAGAUCUACAUGGAGAUCUUAAGCAAGCUAGAUCUGCACUUGAAAUUGCUGGUGUGUUGAGCUCUGAUGGUCAAGACUUGUGGACUGGUGGAGAAAAUGUCUUGAUUCAACUUGGAGAUAUAUUAGACCGAGGUGAAGAUGAAAUUGCUAUCUUGUCCUUGCUGCGGUCGUUAAAUAAACAGGCAAAAGCUAAAGGGGGAGCUGUGUUUCAGGUAAACGGAAAUCAUGAGACCAUGAACGUGGAAGGCGAUUUCAGAUAUGCUGAUUCUGGGGGAUUUGAUGAAUGUAGUGAUUUCUUGGAAUAUAUCAGUAAUUCUGAAGAUGACUGGGACACAAUAUUUACUGGUUGGGUUGAUGUAUCUGCAAAGUUGAAAGAAGAUCGAACAAUGUCAACAAAUCAUUGGGGACCUUGGAAUUUAGUGAAGAGGCAAAAGGGAGUCAUAGCCAGAUCAGUCCUCUUUAGGCCCGGUGGGCUACUGGCAUGCGAGCUUUCAAGGCAUCCUGUUGUGCUUAAGGUUAAUGAUUGGGUCUUCUGUCAUGGCGGCCUUCUUCCUCAUCACGUUGCAUAUGGCUUAGAGCGGAUGAACAAAGAAGUGUCUGAGUGGAUGAGAGAUCCAAAUACGAAUGACAGUACUCUCCAAUUACCAUUCAUUGCCACUAGGGGUUACGACAGUGUUGUUUGGAAUCGGUUAUACUCAAGAGACUCAUCAGAUUUGAUGGACUAUGACGCUGAACAGGUAAGUUCCAUUCUCGAGGAAACAUUGCAAGCAGUCGGUGCUAAGGCAAUGGUGGUCGGGCAUACUCCCCAAACUAUUGGUGUAAAUUGUAAGUACAAUUGUAGCAUAUGGCGCGUAGAUGUUGGAAUGUCCAGUGGAGUCCUUAAUUCAAGACCAGAGGUUUUAGAAAUUAUAGACAAUAAAGCAAGAGUUAUAAGGAGCGAAAGGGACAGAUACAGUGAACUUCAGGCGGCUGCGUAUACUUAAGGAUAAACAAAUUGUAUAACAGGUCUCCAAUGACAUCAUUUAAUCCAUGUACUCAACAUUAUCUAGUGGGAUAACUUGUAGCACUGUUCGGUAAAACCAAACUGUUCAUGGUUCAUCCCAAACUUGAUUUAAGGCUAAUGAACCAGAACUGCCGGCAUACAUCUAGUAAAGUCCAACAUCGGCAAAACAUUUUGAAUAUCGAUUGGCAAAUUCACAUACAACUUGUGAAGAAUCCAGCAGUGGACUCGUUUUGGAAGUCCAAAGGAUUUUGUAUCAUAUGAUUUUAGUGAUACAAUAUGAAGGCAAGUUUUUGUUUUAUAAGUUAAAUGUAGCCUGUGAAAGUGCUUAAAGUAGGAUGAAAAUAGAAUGCAUAAGAAUAAAGAUGGGGAAAUAGGAAAGAUGGGGAAGGGUAAAUAAUCAAAAUAUUGUACUUAUUAAUCAAUUAUAUUAUCACAAUUACAUUGAGUAGUCCCAAACUUAAUUGCUCCAUUAUUGGUUUUGAUCAA